UGGGGGUUCUCGUCGGGUUUGCUGUGUCAGCUAUCUGUGCAGAGCUGGGGCAGCACACAGAGGGAACACAUGCACGCAGCUGAGUGAUAUCAACAGGAGAAAGCAGAAGCACCACACCGGUAGCAUCUAACAACACUGGUGACCCCGACCGCUGAUCUGCUGCAGAUGUGGCCUUGAGGGUCUCAUCAGGCACACCAAUGGAGCAGCUCACACAGAUGAGGAGAAAGAAGAGGAGUAAGGAAGACAUGUUCCAGAAGAGAUGACCUUGGGAGCCCAGCCUCCCUAUUUGUUAUCACCAGCUGAACGGCUGCGCAGAA